rnacentral:rRNA from 1 species
UACGAAGGGGGCUAGCGUUGCUCGGAAUGACUGGGCGUAAAGGGCGCGUAGGCGGAUUGUACAGUCAGGCGUGAAAUUCCCGGGCUCAACCUGGGGGCUGCGCUUGAGACGUGCGAUCUUGAGUGGGGAAGAGGGUCGUGGAAUUCCCAGUGUAGAGGUGAAAUUCGUAGAUAUUGGGAAGAACACCGGUGGCGAAGGCGGCGACCUGGUCCUUUUACUGACUCUGAGGCGCGAAAGCGUGGGGAGCAAACAGG